rnacentral:rRNA from 1 species
AGAGUUUGAUCCUGGCUCAGGAUGAACGCUGGCGGCGUGCCUAACACAUGCAAGUCGAGCGCGAUUAGACGGACUGGAGACUUCGGUCAAAGGGAAGCCUAUGAAAGCGGCGGACGGGUGAGUAACGCGUGAGCAACCUGCCCUGUACAGGGGGAUAGCCACUGGAAACGGUGAUUAAUACCCCAUAAACCCAAAGGACCGCAUGGUCUAAUGGGCAAAGCCCCAAGCGGUACAGGAUGGGCUCGCGUCUGAUUAGCUAGUUGGUGAGGUAAUGGCUCACCAAGGCGACGAUCAGUAGCCGACCUGAGAGGGUGAACGGCCACACUGGAACUGAGACACGGUCCAGACUCCUACGGGAGGCAGCAGUGGGGAAUAUUGCACAAUGGGCGCAAGCCUGAUGCAGCAACGCCGCGUGAGUGAUGAAGGCCUUCGGGUCGUAAAACUCUGUCCUAAGGGAAGAAGAAGUGACGGUACCUUAGGAGGAAGCCCCGGCUAACUACGUGCCAGCAGCCGCGGUAAUACGUAGGGGGCAAGCGUUAUCCGGAAUCACUGGGCGUAAAGGGUGCGUAGGCGGCUGAUCAAGCCAGGGGUGAAAGGCUGUGGCUUAACCAUGGUAAGCCUUUGGAACUGACGAGCUUGAGUGCAGGAGAGGUAAGUGGAAUUCCUAGUGUAGAGGUGAAAUUCGUAGAUAUUAGGAGGAACACCAGUGGCGAAGGCGACUUACUGGACUGUAACUGACACUGAGGCACGAAAGCGUGGGGAGCGAACAGGAUUAGAUACCCUGGUAGUCC